CCAAUUUGUCAACUCGAAUUUGUA
rnacentral:siRNA from 1 species